GAUGAACGCUGGCGGCGUGCCUAAUACAUGCAAGUCGAGCGAACAGACGAGGAGCUUGCUCCUCUGACGUUAGCGGCGGACGGGUGAGUAACACGUGGAUAACCUACCUAUAAGACUGGGAUAACUUCGGGAAACCGGAGCUAAUACCGGAUAAUAUAUUUAACCGCAUGGUUCAAUAGUGAAAGACGGUUUUGCUGUCACUUAUAGAUGGAUCCGCGCCGCAUUAGCUAGUUGGUAAGGUAACGGCUUACCAAGGCAACGAUGCGUAGCCGACCUGAGAGGGUGAUCGGCCACACUGGAAAUGAGACACGGUCCAGACUCCUACGGGAGGCAGCAGUAGGGAAUCUUCCGCAAUGGGCGAAAGCCUGACGGAGCAACGCCGCGUGAGUGAUGAAGGUCUUCGGAUCGUAAAACUCUGUUAUUAGGGAAGAACAAAUGUGUAAGUAACUAUGCACGUCUUGACGGUACCUAAUCAGAAAGCCACGGCUAACUACGUG
rnacentral:rRNA from 1 species